AAACCAGGAAAAUCAUGUAUCUACCCCCUAACCCUAAACUCUGUCUUAUGAAGUCAAGCAUGCAUGAAGAGAAGUGGUUUUUGGUUUCAAACAUGGAAAUUUCAAAAACCCUACCAAGAUCUACAUUUUGGAGUGACUAAGAAGGAUAUAUGCUUAAUUUUUCAUAUUCAUGUUUGAAACUUGUUUAAAUCAUGGUCAAACCUAGGAUUUGACCAAGAUUCAAAUGGGCAUAAAAAUUCAGAAAAAACAAAAAAUGAAAAAUCAAGGGACAUAGUCUUCUUAUGUCAUAUAGUAAGCAUUAAAUUUAAUUAUAGAUUCGUUUGUCGAUUUUUCUUCGUACAUUUUUAUUAUUACUCUACUAUGCAGCACAUAUGUGUUUGCCCGUCGAGUGAAACUCGAAGGAAGAGGGAUCACUCGGAAGGAGAGAAGAAGGAGGGAGAGCAUUAUGGCGUCUCUCCUUUUUCGGUUGAUGAUGUUGACUAUUGUGCAGCGUUUGUCAGUGAGCAGGAGGUGCGAGCAAGCGAGCGAGUCGAGCGAGCCCGAGAAUGAGAGAGAUUUGUUUUUUUGUGAGAGGGACAAACGAAGGAUCCUGAAGGACCCAGAGACUUCCAAUACGCAUCCUGAAUUCCUGAUGCGUCUUCUCUUGACAAAGAAAAUGGAUGGGAGUUUGCAUACCUAUUGCACGUGACUUGUGCUCACUGAAGUGUGGGACCUCACGCAUGGGCACCACACGUAGACCUGUUGGUGUAAAAAUUCGGUUGAUUAUUAUAGUGCAUUAGAACAAAGUUUCCUAUGGAUUCAAGGGUAGGAAAUCCAAGUUAACUCAUUUACAUGACAUUAUUUUUUGCAUGAAGCAAAGUUAACACAUCUAUCAAUUGGUACAUUUUGGAGUGACUAAGAAAGAUCCAUGCUUACCUUUUCGUUUUCACGUGUUAAACUUGUUUAAAUCUUGGUCAAACCUAGGAUUUGACAGAGAUUCAAAUGGGCGGAAAAUUAAACAAAAAACAGAAAAAUAAAAAACCAAAGCACAUACGUAGUUUUCUUACGUCAUAUAGUAAGCAUUCAAGUUGAUAAACAAGGUCUAGACAUAUUCAAACCAUACAAAUCAUGUAUAUACCCCUAACCCUAAACUAUGUCUUAUGAAGUCAAGCAUGAAGAGAAGUGGUUUUGGGUUUCAAACAUGGAAAUUUCAAAAAACCUCCCAAAAACUUCAUUUAGAGUGACUAAGAAGGAUAAAUGCUUCCCUUUUCAUUUUCAUGUUUUAAACUUGUUUAAAUCUUGGUCAAACCUAGGAUUUGACCAAGAUUCAAAUGGGCAUCAAAAAUAAAAAAAAUCAGAAAAAUGAAAAACCAAAGCACAUAGUCUUCUUAUGUCAUAUAGUAAGCAUUAAAUUUGAUAAACAAGGUCUAGACGUAUUCAAACCAGACAAAUCAUGUAUCUACCCCUAACCCUAAACUCUGUCUUAUGAAGUCAAGCAUGUAGAGAAGUUGUUUUGGGUUUCAAACAUGGAAAUUUCAAAAACCCUCCCAAGAGCUACAUUUUGGAGUGACUAAGAAGGAUAGAUGCUUAAUUUUUCAUAUUCAUGUUUUCAACUUGUUUAAAUCAUGGUCAAACCUAGGAUUUGACCAAGAUUCAAAUGGGCAUAAUUUUAAAAAAAAUGAAAAAUCAAGGCACAUAGUCUUCUUAUGUCAUAUAGUAAGCAUUCAAUUAAGUUGAUAAAGAAGGUCUAGACAUAUUCAAACUAGAAAAAUCAUGUAUCUAACCCCCUAUCUAUAUAGCCCUAAACCAUGACUUAUGAAGUCAAGCAUGAAGAGAAGUGGUUUUUAGUUUCAAACAUGGAAAUUUCAAAAACCCUCCCAAGAGCUUCAUUUUGGAGUGACUUAAGAAGCAUACAUGCUUACUUUUUCAUAUUCAUGUUUUAAACUUGUUCAAAUCUUCGUCAACAAACCUAGGAUUUGACGAAGAUUCAAAUGGGUAUAAAAAUUAAAACCAAGGUCUUCUCAUGUCAUAUAGUAAGUAUCUAUUAUAUAAUUAAAACACAAGACAAAUAACGGCUCGGAUUAGCCUACCGUAUGACACCAAAGAAAAUAAUGGCUCAGAUUCAUACGUAACGAUUCGCUGUAGAUCGGAACCAGUUAUUAUAUAAUCAAUCACGUCUGGUGCUGUCAAAAAAAAAAAGAAUGGCUCAGAUUCAUACCUAAUGAUUCGCUAUAACAGAUCAGAACCAGUUAUAAUCAAUCACGUCUGCUGCUGUCAAAAAAAAAAUCACAUCCGCUAACAGUAUACGCCCCACCCCCACGUCCCAUGCCCUAAAAAUCCUAGAGCCCCGCAUAUUAUCACCGCCCCGCCGCCACCAGUUCAACGCCGUCGUCGCCGAUGUUCUCCUUAUGCUUUUGCUGGACAGGCAAACCGCCGUGGACUCACCUAUACCAGCUAUACCAGACCCCAGCGCUACUCGCCACUGCUGUCACCUGCACUGCAUGCCAAAUCCGGACAGUCACACGCUCGGAACUGGCUGAACACUGGUGCUGAUGUCCUAUUGCAGGUGUAUAUAUACUAUACACCAUUCACAUGUUUGACAAAAAUUCCCAACCAUUUAAGUUACACAAAAUCAGCCAUCCACGGUAGUAGCAGUGCCAUGCAUCUUUGUCAAUCUACUUUUCAGAGCUCACCGCGGCUAUCGCGGCAAGAUCGAACAAGACAUUCAAGCAGUUGGAUGCCUGCUUCGGGGCGAUGACCACCAUCGCGAUAAAAUCGUGCUAG